UCGAGAGGAGCGGCGAACGGCUGCGUAACACGUUGGUACCUACCCCAUACUCAGGAAUAAUUCGCCGAAAGGCGGACUAAUGCCGGAUAGUCCCGCAAGGGUAAAGCUUUCGCGGUAUGGGAGGGGCCUGCGGCCUAUCAGCUUGUUGGUAAGGUAACGGCUUACCAAGGCUAUGACGGGUAGCUGAUCUGAGAGGAUGAUCAGCCAGAAUGGGACUGAGACACGGCCCAUACUCC
rnacentral:rRNA from 1 species